rnacentral:rRNA from 1 species
CCUACGGGAGGCUGCAGUGAGGAAUAUUGGUCAAUGGACGAGAGUCUGAACCAGCCAAGUAGCGUGAAGGAUGACUGCCCUAUGGGUUGUAAACUUCUUUUAUAAGGGAAUAAAACGAGGCACGUGUGCCUUUUUGCAUGUACUUUAUGAAUAAGGAUCGGCUAACUCCGUGCCAGCAGCCGCGGUAAUACGGAGGAUCCGAGCGUUAUCCGGAUUUAUUGGGUUUAAAGGGAGCGUAGAUGGGUUGUUAAGUCAGUUGUGAAAGUUUGCGGCUCAACCGUAAAAUUGCAAUUGAUACUGGCAGUCGUGAGUACAGUUGAGGUAAGCGGAAUUCGUGGUGUAGCGGUGAAAUGCUUAGAUAUCACGAAGAACCCCGAUUGCGAAGGCAGCUUACUAAACUGUGACUGACACUGAUGCUCGAAAGUGUGGGUAUCAAACAGGAUUAGAUACCCCUGUAGUC